UACGUAGGGUGCAAGCGUUAAUCGGAAUUACUGGGCGUAAAGCGUGCGCAGGCGGUUCUAUAAGACAGAUGUGAAAUCCCCGGGCUCAACCUGGGAACUGCAUUUGUGACUGUAGAGCUGGAGUACGGCAGAGGGGGAUGGAAUUCCGGCGUGUAGCAGUGAAAUGCGUAGAUAAUGCGGAGGAACACCGAUGGCGAAGGCAACUCCCC
rnacentral:rRNA from 1 species